GACGAACGCUGGCGGCGUGCCUAAUACAUGCAAGUAGAACGCACAGUUUAUACCGUAGCUUGCUACACCAUAGACUGUGAGUUGCGAACGGGUGAGUACCGCGUAGGUAACCUGCCUGGUAGCGGGGGAUAACUAUUGGAAACGAUAGCUAACACCGCAUAAUAUUGAUUAUUGCAUGAUAAUUGAUUGAAAGAUGCUAUUGCAUCACUACCAGAUGGACCUGCGUUGUAUUAGCUAGUAGGUGAGGUAACGGCUCACCUAGGCGACGAUACAUAGCCGACCUGAGAGGGUGAUCGGCCACACUGGGACUGAGACACGGCCCAGACUCCUACGGGAGGCAGCAGUAGGGAAUCUUCGGCAAUGGACGAAAGUCUGACCGAGCAACGCCGCGUGAGUGAAGAAGGUUUUCGGAUCGUAAAGCUCUGUUGUAAGAGAAGAACGGGUGUGAGAGUGGAAAGUUCACACUGUGACGGUAUCUUACCAGAAAGGGACGGCUAACUACGUG
rnacentral:rRNA from 1 species